ensembl:lncRNA
AUAAUAACAUACUUUGAAGAAAAGUUUUAUUACUUUUCUGCUUCUUUAAGUUGUACAGAGCUGUGGGAAACCAGCGUACGUCUUACAGGCCACUUCUCACACUGGACACACUGGAUACCAAAUGGGACUAUUUACAUUUGCAGCUGCUGGUGCAUAUGCUAAAAUUAGACUAAAUACAAAAUAGCAGCUGCAUGGGUAGAAACAAACCAAAACUGAUUCACAGAUGAGAGGCAGCUUGGAGAACCCAGGCGUUGCAGCUAGAUUUGACACAAAGGCCAGUCUAGUGCAAGUGCCCCAUGCCUACAAAGACACAAUAGUCCAUACUGCCCCUUUCCAGAGGUGGAUUCCAGAGGUUGAAGAGGUUAAAAUAAAUGAAGAAUGCAUUUAACUUCAAGAACUUAAGUAAUUCCACUGGAACCAAUAAGACUAUUCAGAGCAGGGACUGGUUCCAAAGCAGUUAUGUUGACAGUGAAGUUGCAGUAUCUUAUUAUAUUUCUGGUAGAAUAUGACAGCCCAAGAGCCAUGACGUUACACAGUACUUCUAGGAUCCUAAGCAUGGCUGCAGCAUUAUAGAGGAUUGUCCUGGUAUAUCUUCAUCAACUACAUCAAGGCUUCUUUUGCCAGAAGAAAUAAAGAAUAUUCUGAAACUACAGAGAGUUCAUAGGCAAUGGGGCAAUACCACGGAAGGAUUAAGUGAACAAAACUUGCUCUCAGAAGCUGACACUGAAUAAAUCCUGAUGAACCCCACGCACACCUUCCAGGAAUGAGAUGACCUGCACCCAUUCCAAACUUGCUGACUGGCUUGACCAAGCCAAUCACUGAAGAAGGCUAUCAGGUUUGCCAAGAAAGAUUUCCCCUGCAUAAAAUCAUGGUGACUGCUCCCAUUUGACUUGUUGUUCUUCAUAUGUCUGGAAACAAUUCCAGCAUCAUUUGUUCUAUCACUUUCCCGGUGAUCAAGGUAAGACAGACUGACUUGUUUUUUCUCAGAUCCUCCUUGCCAUUCUUUAAGAUGGGAAUGAUAUUUUCUUUCUUCCAGUCUAUGGGAACCUCUGUCUAUUACCAUUACCCUUCCAGGAGUGACUCUAUGAUGAUGUCAUUCAGCCUUCUUAGCAGUUGUGGGUGUAUCCCAACAGACACCAUAUAUUGUGCAUGUUCAGCUUAUGUAAAUGUUCCCUAACCUGAUCCUUCUCCAUCAGGGGUAAGUCUCCCUCACUCUGGACUUUCCUGUUGGUUUUGGAGGCCUGGUCUUACCAAUAAAGAUCAAGAUGUAGAAGGCCCUGACUGCCUUGUCCUUUUCUGUGUCUUUUGUCACCAGAUCAAUCUCUCCACUCAGCAGCAAACCCAUAUUUUCCCUAGUCUUUCUUUUGCUGCUGAAGAAUCUGGAGAAACAUUUCAUGUUGGCUUUCACCUCCCUCACCAACUUCAACUCCAGAUAAGCUUUGGCUUUCCUAAGUACAUCCCUGCAUGCCCAAACAGAGUCUCUGUGUUUCUGCUGUGUUCAUUCACAGAGUUUUCCCUGAACACCCAUCCAACACAGUGCUCUUGAAGGUAGUAUUUCUGUUGUCCAGAUGCACCAGGAUCCAUUUGGUGUUGUGUUUUUUAGUAUAUGAAAGAGACAGAUGAAGUGGAGCCUAGACAUAUUCUGCUGAAGCCUGUGAAAAAGAGCCUGUCUUGGCCUGCACCUCUAGUAUGGCAAAACAUCAUCCAGACAUCAAAGGGAAGAAGAGAGGAACAAAUACAGUUUCUGUGAUGAACAUUCAGAAGGUUGCCUCCAAUUUAUCAGUUUGAUGAGGGGAAAGAGAUCACAUUCUCCAAAGCUCUGCUCAUUCCAGACCCCCACAAGAAAUGUCAGUAACCAUGGAAGGAAUGUGCAGAUACUCACAGUGAGGUCACUUCCCAUGGUUGCCACCCACUGGAUCAGGCUGCUCAGUGUCCCAUCCAAACUGGCCUUGGACACCUCCAUGGAAGGGACAUCCUCAGCUUCUCUGGGAAGCCUGUACCUCACCACUCUUAAAAUAAAGAAUUUCUUCCAAAUGUCUAAUCUCAAUCUACACUCUUUUAGUUUUAAACCAUUACCCCUUGUCCUAUCACUGCAUUCUCUGUUAAGGAGUGUCUCUCCAGAUUUCCUAUAGGCCACUUUAGGUACUGAAAGACCACAGUGUGGUCUCCAUGGAGCCUUCUUAAAGCUGAACAAGCCCAACUGUCUCAGCCAGUUUUCACAGAAGAGCUCCCACACUGAAGGAUCUCUGUUCACUACCAUGACAGAACCAUAUACUGACCACAGCAUCUUAUAUGGCCACAGUAGAAACUGUCAAAAGCACAGAUUCUUUUUUGAAGAAUGUCAUCUAGGCUGGGUCAAAUUAAUCAAAAUGUAGGUCCUCCUCUUUCUUGGAUACACAAUGGGCAGUGUGUACAGUACAUGAAAUAAAAAAACAGUUCACAUUGUGGUUUUUUGUUUUUUGUUUUUUUUAUCAAUAAGUUCAUGCUUGGUAUAAUGUUGAUAGGUAUCCUUGCCUUAUUUUGACAUGCUUCAAGUGGUGUUGCGAAACAUGAGCACAAAAGUUGACCACAAACAUUGUCACGGUCUUACCUCUAGAACAAUAAUUCCCACAAAAUGUAAUGCCCAUUGAGCAGCAAUACUCAAAUAAAAAGGAAUUUUAUAAACAGAGCUUAGAAAGUCCAUUAACUGGGAUGCAGCAAGUGGGCUUCAGUGAAGACUGGUGCUCUGCAGUUCUUUCAUUGCUGAGGGCAGCAUUACUGGAAACAUCUUCAGUUUAUAUCCCUGUAAACAGAUUUCUGUGCUAAGGAUAAACGAACUGGGAGCUACACUCUCCCCAUGGCUGUUUGGCCAGUAUGAGUCCAUUUCAUCUUGUGUGGGGCAUUUGUGAAAUAGAGCUGCCGAAGCAUUUCCAUGAAAGUCAGUGAUUGCCUAAUCCCUUGCAAGUGUACUCUUCAGAAGUUAGACCAAUUUCGGCUUCUCUUUUAUUUGCGAACAUUGCAGCAAAUCUUUCCUUCUUGUUUUUGGUCUCCAGCCCACUCUAAUUCCAGUGACUCAUACUGUGGUGAAAAUAGGUUAUGUGACAGACAGAAAUGUUGGUUUUACUGUUUCAGAGAUAAAAGAAGUACAGUUUGAGCCCUCUGUGUGUGACCCAAGGUAGCAAGUGCUUAGGUAUUUGCCGCAUGAAGACUAAAUGCAUACAGCUACAAUGUGAGUAGUCUGGCAUGGGAGAAGUGAGGAUGCAUUCUGCAUUGACUUUUCUCCCCAGGAGGGACAGAGAAAUAAGGGAAAGGGAAGAAGAGAAGGGGAUGGCAUCUCUUUAGGUUUCUCUCAACUCCACUUUCCUUAAUGUACAAUACAUACUGAAAUACAUGCUGAAAUGAUUUGGAGAAUGUGCAUCUGUUAUUAAUGUGACAUUUCAGGGCACUGAUAAUUUGACUCUGGAAGUGAUUUUAGUUAGAAGGCCUCAUUAUGUAUCUUUCCCUCACUUGCGGAAGUGGAGUUGUGGUGAAGGAGAUUCUGUGCAAGAAAUGCCAACUACAAGACAGGAGGUCUCAAUAAAUUUACAAGAAAAGUCAAGCUAUGAUUAAAGAUGUGUCAUCGAGCUCUCUCAUUUCCCUCUUUUAAUCUUUAAUUAUUUUUUAAACAAUCUAUAGUAAAGUAUAUCUCAAAGGGAGAAUAGGUCUAUUCUGGAAAAGAAAGCAACUAAAUGAAACUCAAAAGAAAAAAGUCUCUGGAAAAUUAAGAAGACCGGGAGAUAGUUGCAAAGUAAAUAGAAAAGCUGAUUUGGAAUACUGAAAGAUUUUUGUCUAAAUGAUGUUCAGUUAAAAAAAAAAAAUCAUCUUUUGAACCUGUAAAUUAGACUAUUAUUAGAGGCUGCACAUGAGCACAGAAGAAGUUUAUGCAGCUAACACAACAUCCUGCUUGCCAAGAUCAUCUUGCUCUAAUUCUCUUGUCAGCAAAGCCACUUUAUAGAAGAACAAUUAACUCACAAUUUGUUUACUUGAUUUUAUUUUCUUCCUAGCAAUUUCAUCAUUUUUAUAUACUUUGGGCAUGUUUCCAGCCCCAAAGCACUAAGAAAUUCAGUAGAGAGCAAAAUAAAUGAAAACAAAUCAAUGCAUGUGAAUGGCCACAAAUGUCACAUUGCUUAUCUUGCUCUGUAAAACACUAAGCAGCUGCUGGCGUUUCGCAAAGAGGAAAAACAAAGCUCUGUUAGUAUUCCUGUGCACACUUUGUUAUUUCACUUAGCAGCUGAUUUUGAAAGAAAAAAGAAACAGAACUGAUCUGAUGUCUUUCCUCUCAAGAUUAACCCACAUCCUUCCUAGGGCAGGAAGGGCAGGUGAAUAGCACACAGGACAUUUGCCACUUCUAUGGCAUCAAUUAUCUACUUUAUUACAUGACUUCACUGAGAACAACAGUAACAGGCUCCAGCAACAUAAUUAGUUUGUUAGAGAGGAUGCGAAAAUCUGCUCAAGUAUUUUGGCAUAGGCAUGGCAAGUAUUGAAAUACCCUUUCUGCAAAGGACUGUUUGCCCACUUGAGUGAGCUAAACUGUAGGAAGCAAUUGUCUCCUCAGAUGUGUGGUUUGCCCUCCCAUGCAGAAGGGGAAGUUGCAUUAGGUGGUAAAAUAACAGGAAAACAGAAGGAAAAGUGGGGCUGGGGAGAAUACUGGCAGAGCAGGGAAGCAGACUGAGCAGGCAGGCAUGCGGCCUACGAAUCCUGCACACCAAAAGAGUGCACCAGGGAAACAUCUGAUGAGACUGGGGUGGUUUGAUCUUUUCUAUCCUGGCAGCUGACCCAUCUGAGAUGUCCCGUCCUACCCAUCUGGACUCACAUCCCUUUUUCAGAAGAGGAAAGGGAAUGUGGUAAGGACCUGGGAACCUGCUCCUCGCCCCUCACAAUGAAAACAUUGGUGCACAUUAUCUAAGGGACUUUGCAGUUUCAUCUUCAAGGUGCUCCUAGUUCUGAGUGGGAGGAAGCAGUCAGGGUUUCCAUGAAGGGUUGCUGUAAGCACCUUUCUCAAUAAGCCAAGGUAGGGAACUGUAAACCAGAGAUAAGGCAUUGUUAAACCAUGGAAAAACACUCUUAAGUAAAGUUUUAUCAUCUGUCAAUUGACUGGCAUAUUUUGGAAGUUUCAGUGAGAAAGGAAGGAUAUAGGUAAUAACUCUAAGUGUGCACGUGGAUUCUGCAGCUUUCUGCCACAAGUGGCUAACUCCCAGGUGAUGAGUGUGAUGUGGCUAAGCAGCAAGUGAGGGUUGCGUGAAACAAACUCUACUGACUCUACUCCUGACUCUGACAGUGUGGAUCAGUUUCUUUAGUCCCUCAUGCCUGGAUAUACAUAACACUAUUUUGCUCUUGAGACCUUCUAAUGAGCAGCUUUGUAUAAUACUGAAAUGCAAUUGUUAUGAGCUGCAGUGAUGCUAGAGUGUGAGCAAUGGCAUAAGGUAGACAUGGUACUUAUGAUAUUUACACUCAUGACGAGGGCAUCUCUAUUUCCCCCUACAAUGUAUAAUGACUUUCCAGAACUUGCUCUUAAAGGAUAAUAUGAGGUGCUGUAGAUGUCAGCUACCACUGCCUUCAACUCAUUAGCUGGGCCCGCAAGCCCCACACAUGCUGUGGUAGGAUGUCCCCAUGCACCUGCUCAAAGUGAAGGUGUGCUUGUAGGACUAGUUCAUGAAGCCACUCCAAGCUAGCAAUUGCAUUCAGAUGUUUCUGCAUCACCUGCAUUAGGGAGACAGCAAUGUUUGGUAUCUUCUGGAAAUUUUUUACUGAUAUUCUUUCCUUGAACCUCUUUUGUUCAGCAAGGGACAGCAGAACUGUGAUAGUGCAGUGUUAAGAAACCAAGUAUUCCUUUUGUUCAGUAUGCUCAGCUCCCACAGAAACUGCUUUCUGGAGAGGAUCUCAGAGUCAGGAAGCUUCUGUUUACCUUCAUAUCAAGUACCGGUUAUUAAUACAGCACUAUGGGCACCCUUACAUUUAUAGUAGACCAGAAGUUUCUGCGGUGAGGUCUUGUUAAUUUGCCCAUUACACAGAAGUCCGUCAAGUCAGCUUUCAUCACUUCAAAACCCCACCAAAGCAAGGAUGGAAGCGUUUAUGUUGGGCAUUUCCCAAAAAUACAAAAAAAAAAAAAAAAAAAAGAGCAAUAAAAAUAUAAAAGGCAUAUGGUGGUCUUGUGACUGGGGAUACAGCUGAGGUUGAGCAAUAUGUAUGCACUUUUUUCUUUCAGAGGGAAAUAUGUUUAUUCUUUGAGUAUGUAAGAAAACUAGUGGUUUCCUGUUUUCAGACAGAGUUCAGAUAAUUAUGUUGAAAUGAAAUAUGCAUUGUCUUAAAUCUGAUAAAAGCAAUAUCCUAGGCAAUAUAAGGCAGUUAACUGUUAAUUCCUCUACUUUAAAGUGCUUGUGGUUUGCAAACAAAUAAGAAAAAAUGACAUGGCUUGCAUUGGGAUUCUUACCUGUCUCUGAAACCAUUUGGAUUGCAAUGUUAGAAAUAAGUACUGGGGUACUAAAGAGAUUUUAAUAGCAUGCAGUUGGAAUGGCCAUGAAGGGAGAAAAGGGACACCUAUUACACUAUGGCACCAAAGUUUUAAAGGUUAAUUGCUUUUCCCAUCCCCCAGCAGACGGGUGUAGAACAAGAUAUUGUUCAGAUUCAAUGAAAGAGGGAGGUAGUGGAGCUUGAACAAAAGCAGCACAACAUUUUCUCGCAGCCGGUCUUACUCUGUGUGCUUCUGCCAUGGCUACAUAAGAUGAAGAAGGACAGUAGUGAUGGUGUCAACUGGGAGAUUUUUUGACUGAAACACUGGAAAUAUUGUCUCUAUUUACUGGUUCAUCUCAGCAAAUCUAUUACCCUUUGAAUGCCAGAAAGGUCAGCUGGGGUUAUCUUCUGCAUAAGUACUAUCUGCAUAGAUUCCUGGGAGGGAGCUGAGCUCUUGCACUGUGUCUCCUGAAACAAUGACUUUUAAAUCUUUGUUUAUCAAUCUGCCUACUAUGACUCAAUUUUUCUCCCUGUUCCUGUUCAGAUGUCCCAUGAGCAACUGUCUAGAUGGACUCACGUUCCACUGCUUACAAAGAGCCCGGGUGGAAUAUUCUUUUAUGUAAUUUCAGUAGAAGAGGUGUAUGGUACAGCUUCUUUUCUCCUGUAACCAUGGAUAGGAAAUCAAAGUUGUAACUGGAUCGAGGUUGUAACAAUAACUGGAAUUCAAACAGAAGUCAGCAUGCUUGAUUUCUUCUCUCUCUCUUGCUAUAAUUGCAUAUUUCUGGGAGGAUUUAGGUGAGACUUAGAUGAUUGCUAUGUUAACAAGAGAACAUUUUCAGAUGGCAGACCCUACAGCUGUCAAUGUCUUCUGCUAUGGAUUGGUACAGAUAUUUACAUCAUGCCUAAGUUUUCUCACUAGAAAUAUGUGUGGCAUUUUGUAUUGUGGAAGCUACUGUUUUAAAUCUAAAAGUAUCCAGUUUAUGAGAUUUUUUUGAUAAAAUUGUGUACGGUAUUGUGCAAUAGCACAUCUGGCAGCUAUAGUCCUAUUAGUGGUUUGAUAUUGUGUUUUGACUAUCUGACAAAAUCCUGCUGGUCUAACUAUUCACUGUUCAUCAGAUUUUGGAAACAAAUAAUUGCUAACUUCUUCCUGGCUCACAUGAUAAAGUGGCCAUGUUCUGGUCCUCAUUGCAAUUGAAAUGAUCAUUGAAAACUGCAGCAGUGAAUAACAAUACACAUUGCUUCUUAGUGUGCAUUAAUUCAUUUAGUUUGAACUCUUACAGGAGCAGCUUCAGCACAUUGACAGCUUUCAGAUGCAUAAGCCAAGGAGACAGUACAGAACAACAAGAACAGUGUACUGCUGAUUGCACCAGACUCAUUAAAAAUGGCAUUUAAACACUGCAAAAUGAAGUCCUAAGUUUAUUCUGAUCCUCAAAGGCUGUUAAAUGGGUGUAGUUGAAAACUGAACUUUUCUUAGGGCUGUUGACUAACAUGUCUACAAUUACAUGUGGUUGUUCUCCUUCUUGCCUGAGAACUGAGCAACACUGGGGAAGAAAUUAGUUGGAAUGCAAAUAUAUAUGUGUAUUUUUAAUUAAAAUCUAGUCUUCACAGCAGCAUUGCUUUUCUGGCCAAAUGGUUACCUUCACGAGAGUUUUCAAGGACUUAAGAUGAUUCUUUUUUUUAAAUUAACUUUACUCUGAGAAAAAUUAUUCUUUAUUUGUCAGGCCAAAUACAAACUGUUUUAUAAAUCAUUGUAACUAAUUGGUAAUUCUAGAUAAUGCUGGUAUUGGAUUAACUAUUUCAUCUCAUUCUUUAUCCAAUUGUGUAAUUGUCUCUCCAUGGAAGAGUUGCAGAUCUAGGCAGUAAUAACCCAUGAGAAGUCUUUUACUUUUCCAUCUUCUUACUACCAACAUCUUCAUGAUGUGUAUAGAGCUAUUCUGACAAGAGCAAGUCUCCAUUUUCCUGCCAUUAUUUAAAAAAACUGACACAUUAGGACAAGGGGGAAUAACUUUAAACUAAAAGAGGGAAAAUUUAGGUUAAAUGUUAGGAUUAAAUUCUUUACUCAGAGGGCGGUGAGGCACUGGCACAGGCAGCCCAGAGAAGCUGUGGUGCCCCAUCUCUGGAGGUGCUAAAGACCAGGUUGGACGGGGCCCUGGGCUGCCUGAGCUGGUGGGGGGCAGCCCCUCCCAUGAAGGAGGUUGGAAUGGGGUUGACCUUUGAGGUCCCUUCCAACCCACACCAUUCAAUGAUUCUAUGGUUCUACGAUUCGAUCAAUGAAAUCAGUAUGUGAUACAAUUAUACUCUGUUAUUUGUGAUCUGUACUGCAGUAUCUCAGCAGCCACUUUCUACUUAUUGGAAAUAUUUUACUUUUCAUAAGUAAAGUAAGUAUUUAUAAUUCUGUGGCUCUGGUCUUUGAUUUGGUGCUCUUCUGAAGCAUAGAAAUAACAAGAAUGAACAGAAAAAUGCUGAGUUAUGCUUUAAAGAGAGGUAAAUUUGGCUUAAACUCCUAUUACUUGUCAGCAGAAAUCAAAGCCACACUUCUCACCCAACUGUUGUGCCCUCGAAGGAUUUCUGGAUUUCCAAAUCCAAAAGCAUAAGGAGCCUUGUGAGAAACUUUCUCAACCGGGUUUCAUAGCACACAGAACCUUUAAUACACUGACAUAUGCACAGCUCUUAUUUCGCUGCAAUGAGAGCUCAGAAUAGACCUUGUGUGAGAACCCCAGCUCACGCCAGAAGUCUAGAUGUGCCUGAUUCGCAUUAAGAAACAGCGUUAAAUUAUUACACACUGCGGGCAGCACAUUUUUCCACAGCACUGGUGGUGGCCUGCAAAAUACCAGCAUCUCCUGCAAUUAACUAUCUGUGGCUGAGAGCAGUGUUCUACCCUUGCUGGGAUUGCUGUCAGCCAUCUCUUCUACUGACUAGAAGAGUGGCAUAGUGGCGUAGCGGCAUAGCUCCAUCCUAGCACAGCAGCCUUCCUCUGUGUCAGCAGAAUACUGGCACGUCAUGAGUUGAAAGUACAGUACGUUUUGCAUCUAUUCUCAUCACUUUCCAGCCUGAGAUGUUGACUGGCUUUUCAAAGCUUUGCACGAAACAGUAGAUUUGAUGGGAUCCUCAGGCUAAAUAUCCCAGCAACACUUUUUCUUUCAAUAAAGAGUUGAAAUUUGUAUCAGGUGUCAUUUUAAAUUAACAGUGCAGUUGCCUUCUUCUUUUCCUCAGUUAUUUUUGUCUAGACCAAGUGACUUCUGAGGUUUCAUUUUGGAUUUGCAACAGUUUAGUGAUAUUCCAGUAAAUGAAAAGCUGAAUACAGCAUAAUGCUUUCAUUUUAGGGGGGCUUAAUGAAGAUAUAUUCUUUGUUCUGAAGGGCAGAACCUUCACUAGAUGUCCCAUUGUUUUAGACUAUCUGCUAUUUGGUCUCCAUAAUUUUCUGACUUUCAUGGAAGUCUUGUACAGGAAACAUCCCACCUCCAGAAAUGCUUACAGACACAAACACUUACAAGAAAAACAAAUGAUAGUCCUGACCCAGAAGAAGGAUAGAGCAGUUUGGUAGUAUGAAACACCUCUGAACAGUGAGUGAAUAAUGGACUUAGUUGUGUGCAUUCUUGAAAGCACACUAAACAAAGUCUCGGAGUCAAAGACCCAUGAAUCAUCAUGAGAUAUCAAUAAUCAGCCCUGGCUCAUAAGACUAUCGGCAGUCACAGGGGACAACAGAAUGUCUUUGUUUUGAAGAAGUCCAAAUAUUUUAUGCCAGCACAGAAACUUUGUAAUGAAUGCUAACAGUAAAGUCAGACAUAGGCAUUUCAGUAGCACUUUUAGAAGCAAAUGUAUUUGUUCAUGGGGUGAGGAUGAGAGAACACCAUUUUUCACUCCCCUGUUUGGGGAAGGUCCUUUCCAACCUUGCAAUUCUAUGAUUCUAUGAUUCUAUGAAAUGACAAAGUUUCAGAAUCUCAGCUUCUCUCACUUGACCCAUUUUCCUUUCUGGCCCAUCUUGGUGAAGUUGUGUUGACUUUCCGCUCUUCUAUCUCUAUACGUCUGUUUGCUGGAGGUAUCUCAUCAUUCAUGAUGAGGAGUCUGAGGAAAAUCAACUGUGUUGUUUCUGAAUCACCACACCAGUUCUAUCACCACACCACACCACACCUCACCAAUCAUAUUUCUUGCCUAUGAGACAGGUCUGAGAAGAUGUUUCAAGGCAGUGGCAAUACAGGAUGACAAAAUACACUUUCAGCAGAGGUACUCUGCUCACAGGCCUCAGAAAAUGCCAAGAAAAUAACCAGGAGAGCAGUGUGCUAUGGGAAUGGAGAGCAACCCUUCAGAAACCUGUGACCUAAAUGGGCCUCUUAAGCCAUGCUUGGAACCAAUGUUAGUUACUCAAUGCCUUUGAAAAGAUGAGUGUACUGAAGACAUCUCUGUGGGCUCUCAUGGCUGUAGCUGGCCCAUGGCAUCCGCACAAUCGGAAAUAGGCAGAAGCAUCUCAGAAAACCUACAUCCUCACAGAUAUCAAGCUAGAGCUAUUUCUGAUUAAAAAGAACGUAUGGCUUAAACUACAUAUACUACGGAUUAAGUGCUGAAAGGAGUUAACAAGGAGUUUUCUAUGUCUUGUGUAUAGGAAUAGGGCUAAAUUAGGCACUGCACUUUAAAACCCCAACAGCCAUGAUAAGACACACCUCUGUGGCAUAGUACUGCUAGCUGGCAGUCCCAGGCACAGUUCACAAUUUCUCUGGGAAAUCUGUGCUAUUGUUCCAUCCCCCACACAGUGCCAAAGUGUUCUGUGGUGUUUAGAGGGAACCUUCUGUGUCCUGUUGUGUCCUGGCACUGGGCAGCCCUAUAAAGAGCCUGGCUCCAUGCUCUUUGCACACUCUUUCUCCUACUCCUAAGUGAAGUAGAUAUUGAUAAGAUCAGAUCUCAUUCAAGCCCUCUCUUCUCCAGGUUGAACAGCCCCGGCCUCUCAGCCCCCUCACAGGAGGAGUUCUCCAGACUUUUCAUAAUUUAUGUGGUGCUAUGUUAACUCUCUCCCAUAACUCCAUGUUAUGUUUUCUAGAGUAAGAAGCAGACAAAGAACUAUGUGUUUGACAUGCAGGCUUCCAAGUUUGGAGGACAGACUGGCAGUUUCCAGCUACAUGUUUUUGUGUGAAUAUUUAACACAGUAACAGAGGUACAUUUACAGGUCAAGAACUGAUAUUUGUGAAGAUAAUAUUUCUCCUUUCCAUCCCAUGAAAGCAUCUGAAACAAAGGGGAAACUCGCUUCCUCACCCAAUUCUAGAUAAAGUACGACGGGAAAUAAGAACCUUUCUGCUUCAAGGGAAUGACCUUGUGGAUAUUUUGCCUUGGUUUCUGUACACCUGAAAUUGGAUGAUCUCACUUCGUAUUUAAGUAGCAGAUGCCAUCUUUAAAUAGAUUAUCUUCAGCCAGACCAAUAGACAGAAAUUCAUGUUUCUGGGAGACACAUCCUUCCUGUGGUCUGUAUGCAAGGCUCUGCCCGGAUUUGCCCUAGGACUGUUCAUUUGUCUAGUAAUAUGAGGGACCAGAUUUGUUUCUGAUGGCUCGAUACUGAUUUAUUGUCUUAUGUUGAAGUUCUUACUUAUUUCAUUUUCAUGACUGUAGCUUAUAUAUUUAUUUUCUGCUAUUUUUUAUAUAUCCAAAUGAUAAGAAUGCCUUUUAUUUUUUCCCUGGAAAAACUGCACAAAUUUAAUAGCGGCAGCUGUUGUCAAGCAGCCAAACCAGUUAGUUACAGUGAAAAAUAUGGCAUAAACUAAGCUCUUUAAGAAAACUAAUUACUUACAUUGAAACUGUGUUAAUAUAGAUGACUGGAAAGACUCUCCUUGAUAAGAAUUACUGUAUUUGCAAGUACCAUUCUUAGAACCAGUUUUUUGAUGAAGUAAGACCAAGAAAGUAGAAAUGUCAAUAGAGUAACGAAUAAACAAUAAAUUCCCCCUGAAGGAAUGGGAAUAGCAAGAAAGACAGAUUUAUUUAUUUAUUUGUUUGUUUUCCCAUGAUAACAAAUCUCUAGUUAUGUUAAGAUUGUUUUUGUUGUUGUUGUUGUUGUUGUUGUGUGUGUUUUGUUUUGUUUUGCCUGGGUAGUUUUGAGUUCCUGUAAGAUUAUUGUCAGACACAAUAGAUAUUCAGCAUCAAGGUUAGACAUUUUCUGUUUUUUUGCCUUUUUCAUGCUUUAGUUUCAUACAUUAAAUACAAAUACCGUCAUUUUAUAAUUCUCCUGAGUCUGUUAUUGUCAUUUUGAGUAACUGUGAUCUCUUUCUUUUCCUUUACUUUCUUCUGUCUCUAUUUCCUGUGAAAAUUGAACGCAAUGUUUAUCUGCACUGUUGCAGGUGUAAUGCAAAGGCAAAUGUCUGCACUGAAUUCUUCCACUCUUCCAAAUGCUAAACAGCAAUGUGAACUAUCUGAAAAGCACAGUUAACUCCCAACACAUUAAUAUCAUCCCUAGCAAGUGCCAAUAAAGUCCUAUCUGAGGCAAAGGAAGGUUCUGUUUCCUGAUAGUAAAACCUAACAGCAUCCCUCCAGAAAAACAUACAUCUCUGGUUGAGGAGUGAAUACACAACAGUAUGUUUGUGCUGUUUCUGUGGUGGUUCUUUUUACACAGUGUUCAAA